UAAAGACAUACUGCUGAGCGAGACGGUUGGUUCCACAGUUUGGCUUCAACCUCGUCCAAUUCAUUUUGCUGAUUUUUCAAAUUAUGAAGUGCUGCACCUCCAGCAAAGAGUAACAUACCGAUUGGCAGGACCUUGUCCGAUACCGACUCAGUCCUUUUGUUUCUAUUAUUUUUGUGCCCACCCUGGUCAUUACUAUUUCCAGAGUUUUGCUGUGUCGUCCUACCAUCCCAACUACUUGUCAAAUGGUCACUGACACCAACUGGGCUUUCUCGCUGUGGAGAAACGACAGAACGUGGAAAACUAUGAAUAGGCGAGUUUGUUGUGUUUCUUCCUCGAAGAAAAAGAGCGUAGAGAUUCCAAAGGUUUCGUGCCAUAUUGACAAAAAGGCAUUUAAAAAGUCACACUAUACAAAAUUGGUGCUAUUUAGUAACUUUACAAACCAAACUCAUUAACAGAACGGGUAGUGGUAUCAACAACAUGGCGAUUAUGCGGCCUUCAUUGUACGUUCAACAGCAGGACGAUAUUUUUCAAUGCUUCAGUGGAAGCAGAAGCACAUAAUGACAUCUCCAUUGCACCCGAAUAUUGUAUGAAAAUUUUGUGGACUGACUGCAUCAUACACAAGAUAAUUCUCUCGAAACAGGUGAGCGAAAUUCAUCAAAAGUUAAUGUUAUCUUAUCAUUCUGAACGAUUACGACUCGGGGGUGAAUAAAUACUCGAUACUGGACCUGUGUCGUUUUAUAUAUAUGGAUGAUUAAUGGUUCCAACACGUCAGCAAAACCUUGAUUUCACAUCAUUAAUCAAAAUAUUUGUGUUGUAAAUGCAUAACCUGUUAGUGUAAGGUUUUUAACUGCAACGUUUUAAAACAGUCUUUGUAUACCGUUUGAACAAUAUAAAAAUUGCCAAAAAUUUAAUGUGGCGUAUAUUUAUAACAAUACAUUGGUACAGUCUAAAAUAUUUAUGCAAAUAUUUGUACCCUAUGUCAUACGAGUAUACAAAUAAAACGUUAUUUAACAGGU